rnacentral:rRNA from 1 species
GGGUUGUGAGGUUAAGCGACUAAGCGUACACGGUGGAUGCCCUGGCAGUCAGAGGCGAUGAAGGGCGUGCUAAUCUGCGAUAAGCGCCGGUAAGGUGAUAUGAACCGUUAUAACCGGCGAUACCCGAAUGGGGAAACCCAGUGUGAUUCGUCACACUAUCAUUAACUGAAUCCAUAGGUUAAUGAGGCGAACCGGGGGAACUGAAACAUCUAAGUACCCCGAGGAAAAGAAAUCAACCGAGAUUCCCCCAGUAGCGGCGAGCGAACGGGGAGGAGCCCAGAGCCUGAAUCAGCAUGUGUGUUAGUGGAAGCGUCUGGAAAGGCGCGCGAUACAGGGUGACAGCCCCGUACACAAAAGCGUAUGUGCUGUGAGCUCGAUGAGUAGGGCGGGACACGUGGUAUCCUGUCUGAAUAUGGGGGGACCAUCCUCCAAGGCUAAAUACUCCUGACUGACCGAUAGUGAACCAGUACCGUGAGGGAAAGGCGAAAAGAACCCCGGCGAGGGGAGUGAAAAAGAACCUGAAACCGUGUACGUACAAGCAGUGGGAGCACCCUUUGGGGUGUGACUGCGUACCUUUUGUAUAAUGGGUCAGCGACUUAUAUUCUGUAGCAAGGUUAACCGAAUAGGGGAGCCGGAGGGAAACCGAGUCUUAAUUGGGCGUUAAGUUGCAGGGUAUAGACCCGAAACCCGGUGAUCUAGCCAUGGGCAGGUUGAAGGUUGGGUAACACUAACUGGAGGACCGAACCGACUAAUGUUGAAAAAUUAGCGGAUGACCUGUGGCUGGGGGUGAAAGGCCAAUCAAACCGGGAGAUAGCUGGUUCUCCCCG